GCAGCAGCCGCGGUAAUACGUAGGGUGCAAGCGUUAAUCGGGAUUACUGGGCGUAAAGCGUGCGCAGGCGGUUUGUUAAGACAGAUGUGAAAUCCCCGGGCUCAACCUGGGAACUGCAUUUGUGACUGGCAAGCUAGAGUGUGGCAGAGGGGGGUGGAAUUCCGCGUGUAGCAGUGAAAUGCGUAGAUAUGCGGAGGAACACCGAUGGCGAAGGCAGCCCCCUGGGCCAACACUGACGCUCAUGCACGAAAGCGUGGGGAGCAAACAGGAUUAGAUACCCCGGUAGUCCCUGUCUCUUAUAC
rnacentral:rRNA from 1 species